CGUACUACAAUGCUACGGACAAAGGGCAGCAAACUCGCGAGAGCUAGCAAAUCCCAUAAACCGUGGCUCAGUUCAGAUCGUAGGCUGCAACUCGCCUACGUGAAGGAGGAAUCGCUAGUAAUCGCAGGUCAGCAUACUGCGGUGAAUACGUUCCCGGGCCUUGUACACACCGCCCGUCACACCAUGGAAGUUGGCCACGCCCGAAGUCGUUACUCCAACCCUUGUGGAGGAGGAUGCCGAAGGUGGGGCUGAUGACUGGGGUGAAGUCGUAACAAGGUAGCCGUACCGGAAGGUGCGGCUGGAUCACCUCCUAACAGGGAUACAAUAACUAAUUGUGAUGUCUGAGUAAUUUAUUCUCAGGCCAUGAUUCUGUCAUCUCUAAGGUCGAUCGGUGCCUCAAUUUGAGAAUUCAAGAAGAACUGAGCAAUCAGUUUAGAGAUGAAGGUUCUUGAUUUUAGUUCCUAAACUUUGUCUAGGUCCCCCCCACAGCGGGUAAAGCCGAGAGCACAUGUAAUUUNAAUUAUUUGUGUUUGAUCUGGCAAGCCGAAAGGCGAGCUAGGUUGCGGCGAGAGCUCCUGGGCCAUUAGCUCAGGUGGUUAGAGCGCACCCCUGAUAAGGGUGAGGUCCCUGGUUCAAGUCCAGGAUGGCCCAUUCGUGUUUGGGGGUUUAGCUCAGUUGGUAGAGCGCCUGCUUUGCAAGCAGGAUGUCAGCGGUUCGAGUCCGCUAACCUCCAUCCAAUAAUGACGCUCAUCCCUCAAUCUGUAACUGUAAAUUUAGCAGUAAGGAGUUUUGCUGUGGUUUGUGAUCUUGACUGUUGUUCGCUGAAGAUUUCAGCUUCUUUUCAUUCUUAAUGAGUUAACCAGAUAGCUGGUUAGUCAGUUUAGUUGAAAAGACGCUGGAUUCAAUCCUGCCCUGGAGACAGGGCUGUUUGAAUGUCAGCAGAACCUUGACAACUGCAUAGGUAAAGUCUGGAAAUAAAGCAUCUCAUGGAUGCUUGAUUCCGGCUUGAGUUUCAUCCAGCAAUGGAUAGGGCUUAAGGCUGGUAUCAAGAAAAUUCUAUUGAGUUUUUAGAGCCGAGAGCUUCCAGUUUUCUUCUGAGCCCGCCGAGGGUUUGGGAGUUUGAUCCUGGCAUUCAAACCGCAUUAGGUAUUCAAAGAGAUUUGAGUAUUAAGUGUAGGUGAAUCUAGAGAGAAUAGGCCUCAACAGCCUGAAGGACUGGGAGUUGAAAUUGGUCAAGCUACAAAGGGCUCACGGUGGAUACCUUGGCACACAGAGGCGAUGAAGGACGUGGUUACCUGCGAUAAGUCUCGGGGAGCUGGAAACACGCUUUGAUCCGGGAAUUUCCGAAUGGGGCAACCC
rnacentral:sRNA from 1 species